CUGGUCAGGGGAGGGAUUGUGCCCUGGGGAGCCCUGGUAUGUCUUUCAGUCACCGCUGACACCAGAGGACAAGACUCAGCUGCAGCCCCAUGGCCAGCACCCUUGCAUUCUAGUUGGAGAGGAAGAGACAUUUACAUCAAAAGAAGCCCAGGAAGGCACAUUCAGCUGGUUGGGGAUGCCAACAAUUUGACUGUUGGAAGAAAUGAGAUAGGCCACAAUACUGACUGUCCCCUGAGCACCUGCUGUGCAGCAAGAAGUGUGUGGGGACUUCACACACACCACCUGCUGUAAUGCCAGCCGUUGGCAGGCAGGUGAUCACCCACCACCCCCAAGGAAGCUGACAGGAAACAACUGAGUGGACAGCUUGGUGUCUCUGGGCAGUGAGGAGCUCUGGGGUGGACCCCAAGCACUGCGAUGUCCCAGCCUAUCCUCCAUCUAACACAGCAGCAUCCUCUUCCUCACGUGUGGCGGGUCGAGGAGCAGCUGCAGCUGGUCUCCUCCAGCCAUUCCCUCUGCAGCUUAGCAUCCAGCCUCCACUCCUCUUGGGGAGCUCAGAGGCCAGUUCACCACAAGACGGUACCUGGGGCUGGGUCGGAAGCAGCUCUUCAGUGGCCAUGGGUUCUUUCUGGAAGGUGGUGACUCAUGCUUGCAGAAAUUCUCCAGGGCCUCAGGAUUCAGAAGGGGAGCAUUGUUCACUGGCACUCAGGGCCAUCUCUCCAUGGCUCAAUUCACCACCCGUCAGUCACCACCGCCGGCCAGUGCUGUUGGAGCCCAAGGUUCUAAGUAGUAAAUGCAGACGUGAGGAAAGUAAGAUUGUUGCAGAGUCAUCAUCCUCCUUUGCCUCGUGCCUAUCCCUCCUCCUGUCUUCCUCCUUCCAAGGGCCAGACGUCCUAAUGUCAGCACCCAUGCCAGGUCAAUUGUGUCAGAUGUACCAGCUGCGUGAAACACUCAUUGAGUAUCUGUUGCUUGACAGGCACUGCAAGGGCAAGUUUCAGCUCUAAGGUGCCCACAGGGGUCAAAGAAAAAUCACAUCAUUUACUAUUGGGACAAGAAGUAGAACAUGGUAAAUCCCUUAAGAGAAAAUCAAGGCAAGGGACAUGGAGCUCUGUUCCUUUGUUGCUGAGGACACGUAAGGAAACUCCAGGGAGAGGAGGGCACUGAAGCUGGAUAGGGAAGGACAUUCCUGGAGGAAGGAACAGCAACAGGAAGUGCAGGGGCAGCCUUGAAAGGGAGGGAGGGCCCUGGGUUGGAACACAAGGAGGAUGUCAGGAGGUGAGCCUGGAAAGUCGCCAGCUCAUGGAAGGCAAGACCAUGGGAUGUGGAUUUUAUUCUCUGAGGAGAGGAGCCACUGGAAGGUGGCAGUGGACGUCAUGGGCUGAAUCAUGCUCCCCAACCCCACUGCAAAAGCUGUGUGGCAGUCCCAACCCCCAGGGCCUCAGAAUGUGGCCUCAUUUAGAAAUAGGACUGGGGGGUAAUUAGUUAAGAUGAGGUACUGGAGUAAAGUGUCCCUGUAAGAGGAGGGGAAGGCAUAGAGAAACAGGGAGACGCCAUGUGAGGACAGAGGCCGGGACAGAGGCACCGCAGCUGCAGGCCAGGGAAGGCAGGGCCUGUCGGCCACAGUGGUGGCCAGAGAGGGAGGCAGGAUUCUCUUCCACAGGGAUCAAAGGGGGCAGGGCCCUGCCAACAGCUUGGUGUUGCACUUCUGGCCUCCAGAACUGUGAGAGGAUGCGUUUCUCUUGUUUUAAGCUGCCCAGCUGGUGGUGCCUUGUCAUGGCAGCCCCUGGAAGUGAAUCCCCCGGGGGUGGGGCGCACGGAUGCCACUGUCUGAUGACCCUCUCCCCUGGUGCUCUGCUUGGCCUCGAGCCCCCAGUGGUGGGCAUGGGCCACAUCUCAGCUCACUGCCCCCUGCCAAUGUUUGCACCAUCAGGGGGCUGCUGUUUUCACCUUAGCCCAGAUGGACGCCCCCACCUCUGAUAACCUGUGGAUUAGGUUGACAAAAGCUUCAAUUCUUUUUUUAUUUUUCUGGGAAGAGAUACAGGUUUGGGAAGACAUGCUGUUAUACAAAGAGGUUUCUUUCUUUUUCUUUUUUUUUCUUUAAGGGACAGAGUGUGAAAGUCCUUGUGGGUGAACAGGGGGAAUAUUCCAGAGGAGGUGCUCAGGUCAGAGAGGAGGAAGGAGGCAGGGACAUUGAUGCUGCUAACGUUGCACUUGUCGAUAGCAGUGUGGUGACUCUGACAGUCUUGUGCCUGAUUGAGGAGAAACGCAAUGUGCUGCUGACUGCAUGUAGUUAAACCAAAGUUUGUGUAGCUACUUCUACAUGUUAGGAUAAACAAACAGAAUUGGGGGGCUGGUUCCAGCUUAGCAUGGCGACCUGUUUUAACCUAGCUUGGCCAGAGUCACAUCUAGUUGAGGGAGGUGGCUGCGUUAUUGAAAGAGAUCAUUAAAAUCACUUUCCUGUUUCCCACUGUGUCCUGCCCAACCCGUCUCCCUCCCACCUCCAUUCCGGCUCCUUCAUCAGCCUGUUUGUUCAGAGGAGGUGGAGGAAAAAGUCACCCUUGCUGGAUAUUGAUAGAAGGGCUGCCUGUGUCUUGCACACUAAGGACAUUGUUUAAGAUGGUGCCACCUCUAUAAAAAUAUUGGUUCUGUAUUGUUGCCAAGAUUUCUGAGUUAUCUAUCAACCAGAACUCCUUGUGCAAACUCAGUCUGCUUUCUGACAGGUUUAAUCAGCACACAUUCCUUUUUAGAAAACGUUCACAGUAUUUGCGAGCUUGUCUUCUCUUCCUCCCUGUGUGCCCCAGCAGUCCUGGGGUGGCAGCUGCGUGAAGCUGUUCAUCUGGGGCAGGACAGGGUAAUUACAACAUGAAGAUGGGCAGGAGAAUUCUCUCUCCAACAGGUUGGGAGAGAAAUCAUCUCCCUUUCGGGCCAGGCGCAGUGGCUCACACCUGCAGUCCCAGCACUUUGGGAGGCAGGGGCAG
rnacentral:lncRNA from 1 species